CCCUGCCCGGCCGUGGCGCGGCGGGGUCCCGGGAGAGCGCGGCACCGCGGGGAUCCGCUCCUUUCCGGUGGCCACGUGUGCGCGCGUGUGAAACUUAGCAGCCCCUCGUCCCGCUGUUAAGAGGGGAGGGGACGAGAGAGAAGGAAGAGCCGCGCGUGAGGCGGCGGCUCAGCCCCGCUGUGCGCGGGCACUGGGGAGGCGGCGGGUGCCGCUGCGGAGCUCUCCCAGCUCAGACAGCCGCGGGACCGAACGGGCAGGAGACACACGGAGCAGACACACGGCCGGGAGGAGACGGGGUCCCCCACCCCCGGCACUGCGCGCUAGGAGCUGCCCGUGCAGCCCCGGGGCUCCUCCGCGCUCCUGCGCGGUGCGGAACCGAGCGCGCAGGCGGCGGCUGCUGCUGCUGCAGGUGAAGCCCUCUCUCUCCGUUUACUUUUCCCAAGAGGGAGAAGAAGGCAGCAGGAGGGGGACGCGGCGCCGUGCGGGGCGGGCAGGCCAAUCAGCGCCGCUGUAACGCAGGGAUCGCUGCAGGACGCGCCGGGUUUUCCUCCCAUCUUCUGCCGCCGGGGCUGAAUCGGGACCGCACGGACCGGCGGAGCCGCACCGGGCUGCAGGACUUCCUCACCCGCCGCUUCUCCGACAGCGAAUCCCUAUACUUCUCCUAUUUUUUUUUUCCCCUCUUUUUAAUACUCUGAAAUCGUCCACGAGAGACAUUUCGUGUCUCCCUUCUUUCCCCACGCACUUAACACCUCCAGCGGCAUCACCCCGCAGGAUCCCCGCUUUCUCCCGGGGAGGCUGAGCCGAACGGCGAGGAGCCGGGCGCGGAGCCGCUCCAUGCCGCGGGCCGUGUGCCGGCGAUGCCCGGGCGCUGAGGCCGGAGCUCCCCGUUGACGGGAGGCGGCCGAGCGCGGGGUGCUUCCAGCAGCGCGGAGCGGCCGCAGGAUGAAUAAGAGAUACUUACAGAAAGCAACAAAAGGGAAGCUGCUAAUAAUAAUAUUUGUUGUAACGCUGUGGGGGAAAUUAGCAUCUGGAGCAAAUCAUCAUAAAGCUCACCAUGUUAAAACUGGGACCUGUGAAGUGGUGGCACUCCACAGAUGUUGCAAUAAGAACAAGAUAGAAGAAAGAUCACAGACAGUGAAGUGCUCCUGCUUCCCUGGGCAGGUAGCAGGUACCACCCGGGCAGCUCCUUCUUGUGUUGAUGCUUCAAUAGUGGAGCAGAAAUGGUGGUGCCACAUGCAACCAUGUCUUGAAGGGGAGGAAUGUAAAGUUCUUCCAGAUCGUAAGGGAUGGAGCUGUUCCUCUGGGAAUAAAGUGAAAACGACUAGGUUGUCUUAUAUUCCCUCAGCUGUGGCAGUAUUCGUGGAGCCAAAUGUGAGUGCACUACCUCAAAAUGCCAGCAGUGGAAGCUGGUAAGCAAGUGGGGGAAAAUCACCAAAGGAAUCUGGAGCUUGGGACAAAGGUAGAAAACACAUCAGUACUGCACUAACAAAGCAGCAGGUACCCUCAUAGAGGAGAUAAAAUUACAGGUAAGGAAAUAAUUUAUGUUUCUAUUUUGAUUUCAUCCAAAUGGCUUGUUAUUCUUCAUUCAGAAUCCCUAGAAAAAUAACACACCUGGGGAUAACACAUUACUAGGGAUAAUUUGAAGUUCAAUCUUAGACAGUUUCUGGAAAAAUAUAUCAGAAGGUGAAAAUCCAUUUUAGCUAAUAGGUAAUUUAAAAACUCAACCUAGUUUAAAAUAAUGACUUCCUUUUUGUUUUGUUAGCAUAUUGGACUCGUAGCUCGUUGGUAGAGGUUUCACUUUCCAAUCAAGAAUAAUAGUAGGUUAUUUAGAUUAGUGCUGUAAGUUUGAAUGAAAGACAAAAGGACUCUGCUUUUCCCUUUACUUUCUCAGAGUUAGCAGGGUAGUAUGACUCUAUAAUCCUUCAGAUUGACUUGUUGUAAAAAGGACUGAGGUUAUUUUUGUCUUCCUUUUGUGACUAUUAGAUGGUGUAAAACAGAAGAAAAUUACAUUUUUUUAAUUAAUUGUCUUGCAGUCUUUUAUGUCAUCAUGCUGCAGUCCCACUGUGGAGUUGUGAUCACCUCCAAAAACCACAAGAGGAUUUAUCCUUGUCUGAAUUACUACAGUUAUUAUCUGUUACAGAAAGUAAAAUAAGGCAAACGUGUAAAACUCUUCAAGUCCGAAUGGAGAAGUAGAGAAAGGAGGUUUCUGCUGUGCCUGAUGACAAUUUAUGAUUUUUCCACACAUACUAAAUAAUCUGGCUCCACGUUGGAGCACUAGUUGUGAUGAAUCCUAGUCAUGGUCGGAUUCUAAGGAAGGGCCAGAACGUUCGUUGAGGAAUAAAGAGUCAAACCACUCCAGAAAAUGUGUUCCAGCCCUGGUUUAUUACUCACAGAGCAGCAGGUAACCCGAUAGCUAAAGACAAAUCAAGUCGGUCUCAAGGCUGAUAACGUUAAAUACAACACAUAGGAAUUUCAUUUCUCCAGGCAAUCCUUGAAGUGAAAUUUUGUACUGCUGGGGUGUAGCCUUCAGAAUCAAUUGUUUCAAUGAGAACCUGGUUUGUAAUCAACAACAGCCUUGAGAUCAAAACUACUGAAGAGUUAUUUUGAACUUCUGUGUCACAAAGAUUUCAACUGAGUGAACUGUGUACACUUGUAAAAUUGCACUUGCAGAGGAAUUUGCAGCUGUAAUCUCAAGAGAUGGUUUUUGAAAGGUGCAGAAAAUCAGCAAUCAUUCGGAUUCUUCUUUCCAGACUGGUGGCAUUUCAUCCUGAUGAAGUCACUCUCCAAAAUGUAUUGGUUCCUCCCCACUAAAAUGAUCCCUGGUCCACAUUCCGAUUGCUGGUGGGACUGCACACUGCUUUAAUUAAAUUUCCAUUGCAGAAAUUGUCCUCUGGCAUGGCACAAUUUUAGACAUUUUUAUUUGUAAUCUAAUCUUGGAGCUCUAAAGGGUACAUAUUUCAACAUCUUGAAGUUGCUUUUGUUAUAGGAAUGGAAAUAUAUACCCAUUGUUAAUAAUUAUUGUUGACAAGUAAUAGUUAUCUGAAUACAUCAGUCAUAUUAGAAUGUAUAGUCGGGUUGACAUGUUUCCCUAAGGCUAACCAACUACUGCAGCUAUUUGGCAGUUAAAAAAAGUAGUGGUCAAAACUCAAUUACCACUUCCAUUAUAAAGCAUUUUAUACCUUUAAGAUAUAUAUUUCAAUUUACUUUGAAGGAGGCAAGUGUUCCUGCACUUUACUUUCCCAACCUUUAAAUCACUGAAAUUCAUGGUAAGCAGUCAAGGAAAGUGUUUCAUCCAUUUUUAUAAAUGUAGGCAGGGAUGUAAAUGAGUUUUUCAAUUAUGAAAUUGGGUGGUAAUCAUUCAGAAUUUUUCUCUUUUCAGUGAAAAAUAAAAUCUCUUGCUUGAAACUAAGUACUGUUGGAUGCUUAUGUAGAUGUCUGCUCAGACUGAUUGCUAUAAAGGAAAAAUGUCCUAGUGCCCUCCUAGAUAUAGGGUUCAUGAGUAUUUUGCUUGCUUACUGUCCUCAAAUUCAAACCUAAUCUGUGCCAAAAUCACAUUUUCUUUAUUUAAUUUUCUAUUUCAGUAGCAAUUUUUUGAACCUUGUGCUGUGCUGUUACAUGAAAAAACCUCCAUAUUUAAAGGCCUUAAGCAUCUAUGAACUUUUUUCUAAGUUAUCACAGAAUGUAUAAUUUUAUACUUCAUUUAGUGUAUAUUGUGCCAUCUGUAAUAUUGAUACAACAAAAAUUUGGCAAUUCCUUUUAAUGACACUACAUAAGCAUGCUAACUGAGAGUGAGAGAGUUCUGACUGUAUGCUUUGGUGCAUUAAAUGAUAAGCACACACACUUAAUGAUAGGCAAAAAAUAUAUAGGAUGAAGCUUAUUUAGAAGUCCUGUGUGGUUACCAAGCUCUCUGAAAAAAAGAUGGAAAUGAUUUUUUCAUUACAAGCUAUUGACAUGGCAAGGUAGUUAUAUAUAAAGUUCCAUGAUGGUUGCAUACCUUGGAGGGAUCUGCCUGUCACGCUAUCCCCGGCUGCUCCAAAACCAUUUCAUUACCUCUGUUGUGUUACUGCACAGGAGAUCUUAAACAAAAUAAAUGAUUGUUGGGAAUAAAAUUGAGAAAUAUCUUCUAUCAUUCUGCUGAGAAAUAAUAAAAAAUGUUGGCAGGGAAAAAUAUUCUUUUCUGAUUGAAAUUUAAUUAGGAUAAACUGUAGCAGCAAUUAGGUAUCUCGGUAUUUUAGGAUGGAUUAGUAAUGAAUGGAUUUGUGCUAAUGGAUGAUGUGCUAAUUCAGGAUGGAAGGUAGCAUCUUAAAAAGACUGGGACAGUGCAAAGUAUUAAUGUGGUGUUUUGUAAAAUCUGAACUGUCUUUGGUCGAAAGUCUGCAUCAUGCUUCUCAAUAUCGUUUUAUUUGUUCCUUUGUUCUUAAACCAACACUGAAAAUACUGUAUUAUAUACAAGUGUAACACAUGCAUAUCAAUAAGUGAAAAUAAAUGGAUUUUCAAAUAUACCGA